CCCUUGGAUGUUCUGGGCCGCACGCGCGCUACACUGACGAAUGCAACGAGCUUAUAACCUUGGCCGAAAGGUCUGGGUAAUCUCCAAAUUUCGUCGUGAUGGGGAUAGAUUAUUGCAAUUAUUAAUCUUCAACGAGGAAUGCCUAGUAAGCGCAAGUCAUCAGCUUGCGUUGAUUACGUCCCUGCCCUUUGUACACACCGCCCGUCGCUCCUACCGAUUGAAUGGUCCGGUGAAGCGUUCGGACCGUGGCCUUUGGACGGUUCGCCGUCUGUUGGCUGCGGGAAGUUCGUUAAACCUUAUCAUUUAGAGGAAGGAGAANUCGUANCA
rnacentral:rRNA from 1 species